GAUGAACGCUGGCGGCGUGCCUAAUACAUGCAAGUCGAGCGAACGGACGAGAAGCUUGCUUUUCUGAUGUUAGCGGCGGGCGGGUGAGUAACACGUGGAUAACCUACCUAUAAGACCGGGAUAACUUCGGGAAACCGGAGCUAAUACCGGAUAAUAUUUUGAACCGCAUGGUUCAAAAGUGAAAGACGGUCUUGCUGUCACUUAUAGAUGGAUCCGCGCUGCAUUAGCUAGUUGGUAAGGUAACGGCUUACCAAGGCAACGAUGCAUAGCCGACCUGAGAGGGUGAUCGGCCACACUGGAACUGAGACACGGUCCAGACUCCUACGGGAGGCAGCAGUAGGGAAUCUUCCGCAAUGGGCGAAAGCCUGACGGAGCAACGCCGCGUGAGUGAUGAAGGUCUUCGGAUCGUAAAACUCUGUUAUUAGGGAAGAACAUAUGUGUAAGUAACUGUGCACAUCUUGACGGUACCUAAUCAGAAAGCCACGGCUAACUACGUG
rnacentral:rRNA from 1 species